AGGUAGGGUGGCCGAGUAGGCGGCGAGUUGUAGCCUCGUGCACGGGAAAUUGCCCCCCAACCAG
rnacentral:tRNA from 1 species